rnacentral:rRNA from 1 species
UUGGAGGGCAAGUCUGGUGCCAGCAGCCGCGGUAAUUCCAGCUCCAAUAGCGUAUAUUAAAGGUGUUGCAGUUAAAAAGCUCGUAGUUGAAUUUCGGGGUUCUACCGUUGGUCGGGCUUUGUCUGUACUGGUGUGUAGAAUUUCUACCUUCUGGGGAACCAUUAUGCUAUUAAUUUAGCGUGGUGGGAAACCAGGACCUUUACCUUGAAAAAAUUAGUGUGUUCAAAGCAGGCUUAUGUCUGAAUACAUUAGCGUGGAAUAAUAGAAUAGGACGGUGGUCCUGUUUUGUUGGUUUCUGAAUCACCGUAAUGAUUAAUAGGGAUAGUUGGGGGCAUUAGUAUUCAAUUGUCAGAGGUGAGAUUCUUGGAUUUAUUGAAGACUAACUUCUGCGAAAGCAUUUGCCAAGGAUGUUUUCAUUAAUCAAGAACGAAAGUUAGGGGAUCGAAGACGAUCAGAUACCGUCGUAGUCUUAACCAUAAACUAUGCCGACUAGGGAUCGGACGAUGUUAAUUUUUCUUGACUCGUUCGGCGCCUUACGGGAAAC